rnacentral:rRNA from 1 species
AAAAGAAACUAACAAGGAUUCCCUUAGUAACGGCGAGUGAACUGGGAAGAGCUCAAAUUUAAAAUCACUUGGGUUUACCUAGGUGAGUUGUAAUUUGAAGAAAGUUGAUUUGAUCACAAGUUUAAUCUCUAAAUCCUUUGGGAUGGGGUAUCAUAGAGGGUGAGAAUCCCGUUUAUGAUUAAACUAGUGGUUAUUUAAUUCAUCUCUCUAAGAGUCGAGUUGUUUGGGAUUGCAGCUCAAAAUGGGUGGUAAAUUUCACCUAAGGCUAAAUAUAUGCAAGAGACCGAUAGCGAACAAGUACCGUGAGGGAAAGAUGAAAAGAACUUUGGAAAGAGAGUUAAACAGUACGUGAAAUUGUUGAAAGGGAAACGAUUAAAGUCAGUCAUGCUAGUAAGGAAUCAACUUAGGUGUUGAUAAGAAAUUUUCUUGUCUCUUCCUGGUGCACUUUCUUGCCCGGCAGGUUAACAUCAAUUUUAGUUGUCAUCAAAGAACUGAGGGAAUGUGACUUCUCUUCGGAGUAGUGUUUAUAGACCUUGGUAGAUGUGACGACUGGGAUUGAGGAUUGCAGCGAAUGCCUUUUGGCUAGUCACCUCGCUUCUGAUGGUCACCUCGCUUCCGACAGCUUGCUAACGGUUGUGGGAUUCGGCAAUCUAGAUGUUAGAGUGAUCAUAAAUUCGCUAAGGAUGUUGACGUAAUGGCUUUAAACGAC